rnacentral:rRNA from 1 species
UAGCCUUGACAUUGAAGAAACACACUAGAGAUAGAGUGGUACCCUUCGGGGAAUCUGAAAACAGGUGCUGCACGGCUGUCGUCAGCUCGUGUCGUGAGAUGUUGGGUUAAGUCCCGCAACGAGCGCAACCCUCGUCCUUAGUUGCCAGCAGGUUAAGCUGGGCACUCUAAGGAGACUGCCUUCGUAAGGAGGAGGAAGGUGAGGACGACGUCAAGUCAUCAUGGCCCUUAUGGCUAGGGCUACACACGUGCUACAAUGGAUAGGAUAAAAAGAAGCGAUACGGUGACGUGGAGCAAAUCUCAAAACCUAUUCUCAGUUCGGAUUGUAGUCUGCAACUCGACUACAUGAAGUUGGAAUCGCUAGUAAUCGUGGAUCAGCCAUGCCACGGUGAAUACGUUCCGCGGGUCU